rnacentral:piRNA from 1 species
UGGAGCAGUAUGGCCAGUGUGUGGCGGC